CAAGUCGAGCGAGAAGACGUAGCAAUACGUUUGUAAAGCGGCGAACGGGUGAGGAAUACAUGGGUAACCUACCCUCGAGUGGGGAAUAACUAGCCGAAAGGUUAGCUAAUACCGCAUACGACUCUUGGUCUGCGGAUCGAGAGGGAAAGCGAUACCGUGGGUAUCGCGCUCUUGGAUGGGCUCAUGUCCUAUCAGCUUGUUGGUGAGGUAAUGGCUCACCAAGGCUUCGACGGGUAGCUGGUCUGAGAGGACGAUCAGCCACACUGGCACUGCGACACGGGCCAGACUCCUACGGGAGGCAGCAGUAAGGAAUAUUGCGCAAUGGGCGACAGCCUGACGCAGCGACGCCGCGUGGGGGAUGAAGGUCUUCGGAUUGUAAACCCCUUUCGGCAGGGAAGAUGGAACGGGCAACCGUUCGGACGGUACCUGCAGAAGCAGCCACGGCUAACUUCGUGCCAGCAGCCGCGGUAAUACGAAGGUGGCAAGCGUUGUUCGGAUUUACUGGGCGUACAGGGAGCGUAGGCGGUUGGGUAAGCCCUCCGUGAAAUCUCCGGGCCUAACCCGGAAAGUGCGGAGGGGACUGCUCGGCUAGAGGAUGGGAGAGGAGCGCGGAAUUCCCGGUGUAGCGGUGAAAUGCGUAGAGAUCGGGAGGAAGGCCGGUGGCGAAGGCGGCGCUCUGGAACAUUUCUGACGCUGAGGCUCGAAAGCGUGGGGAGCAAACAGGAUUAGAUACCCUGGUAGUCCACGCCUUAAACGAUGGAUACUAAGUGUCGGCGGGUUACCGCCGGUGCCGCAGCUAACGCAGUAAGUAUCCCGCCUGGG
rnacentral:rRNA from 1 species